rnacentral:rRNA from 1 species
UGGGGAAUAUUGCACAAUGGGGGAAACCCUGAUGCAGCGACGCCGCGUGAGCGAAGAAGGCUUUCGAGUCGUAAAGCUCUGUCCUAUGAGAAGAUAAUGACGGUAUCAUAGGAGGAAGCCCUGGCUAACUACGUGCCAGCAGCCGCGGUAAUACGUAGGGGGCUAGCGUUGUCCGGAAUCACUGGGCGUAAAGGGUUCGCAGGCGGAAAUGCAAGUCAGGUGUAAAAGGCAGUAGCUUAACUACUGUAAGCAUUUGAAACUGCAUAUCUUGAGAAGAGUAGAGGUAAGUGGAAUUUUUAGUGUAGCGGUGAAAUGCGUAGAUAUUAAAAAGAAUACCGGUGGCGAAGGCGACUUACUGGGCUCAUUCUGACGCUGAGGAACGAAAGCGUGGGUAGCAAACAGG